AUUGAACGCUGGCGGCAGGCCUAACACAUGCAAGUCGAGCGGAAGAGGGGGGCUUGCUCCGGGAUUCAGCGGCGGACGGGUGAGUAAUGCCUAGGAAUCUGCCUGGUAGUGGGGGAUAGCGUCCGGAAACGGGCGCUAAUACCGCAUACGUCCUGAGGGAGAAAGUGGGGGAUCUUCGGACCUCACGCUAUCAGAUGAGCCGAUGGCGGAUUAGCUAGUUGGUGGGGUAAAGGCCUACCAAGGCGACGAUCCGUAACUGGCCUGAGAGGAUGACCAGCCACACUGGGACUGAGACACGGCCCAGACUCCUACGGGAGGCAGCAGUGGGGAAUUUUGGACAAUGGGCGAAAGCCUGAUCCACCAAUGCCGCGUGUGUGAUGAAGGCCUUCGGGUUGUAAAGCACUUUUGGCGGGAACGAAAAGGACUGUACCAAUACCACGGUUUGUUGACGGUACCCGCAGAAUAAGCACCGGCUAACUUCGUG
rnacentral:rRNA from 1 species